GACAAACAGGUCAAGCUAAGAAUUAUAGGUGAAAAAGGAGGUUAGGAGAAUUAUAGUGAAGGAAGAUCAUAUUUAAGUAUAGGAGUGGAAUCCGAGUACUUAUUUGUAAAUUUUUCUCUUUCUUUUUCUGAAGCCUCGAAAUUUCUCUGGAAGACCGGGAUUAGAUACCCCGUUAUUUAAAUUGUAAACUUUAAUUAAUUUCGUCGAAUAUUUAAUUUACCUGAGUAUUACGGGCUUAAUAAGGUUAUCUUGCCAGCCUAAAACUCAAAAAACUUGGCGGUGCUUUAUUUCCAUUCAGGGGAACCUGUCCUGUAAUUGAUAGUCCACGUUUUAUCUUACUUUCUAUUGUAUUAAUCAUUUUCAGAUUAACAGUUUGUAUACCGUCGUCGUCAGAUCACCUUUAAAAGUAAAGAAGUUGUCGGGAGAAAUAAAAAUAAAAUUUAAAUUUAUUAUUAAUCUAUUUUAUUUUAUUUGGGAUGUCAGAUCAAGGUGCAGCCUAUUAGAAAGAAGAGAUGGGUUACAUUAUAAAUUUUAUGUGGAUAGAGAUUUGAAAGACUCUCAUGAAAACGGACUUGAAAGUAAUUUUAUGUUUGAAUAGUGAGCUUUAGUGAAACUGGUACUGAAGUGCGU
rnacentral:rRNA from 1 species